AUUGAACGCUGGCGGCAGGCCUAACACAUGCAAGUCGAGCGGAUGAAGGGAGCUUGCUCCUGGAUUCAGCGGCGGACGGGUGAGUAAUGCCUAGGAAUCUGCCUGGUAGUGGGGGAUAACGUCCGGAAACGGGCGCUAAUACCGCAUACGUCCUGAGGGAGAAAGUGGGGGAUCUUCGGACCUCACGCUAUCAGAUGAGCCUAGGUCGUAUUAGCUAGUUGGUGGGGUAAAGGCCUACCAAGGCGACGAUCCGUAACUGGUCUGAGAGGAUGAUCAGUCACACUGGAACUGAGACACGGACCAGAAUCCUCCGGGAGGCAGCAGUCGGGAAUAUUGGACAAUGGGCGAAAGCCUGAUCCAGCCAUGCCGCGUGUGUGAAGAAGGUCUUCGGAUUGUAAAGCACUUUAAGUUGGGAGGAAGGGCAGUAAGUUAAUACCUUGCUGGUUUGACGUUACCAAAAGAAUAAGCACCGGCUAACUUCGUG
rnacentral:rRNA from 1 species